AUAAUGUGAGUGGGCCUCAUCCAAUCAGCUGGAGGCCUGCAUAGAACAAAAACACAGGUCUCCCUGAGCAAGAGGGGCUUCUCCAGUAGAUGGCCUUUGGACUUCAUCUACACCAUCCACUCUUCUGGGUCUCCAGCCUGCUGGCCCACACUACAGAUUUUGGACUUGCCAGCUUCCAUAAUCACUGAUUCAGAGAUGAUUUCCUCUUCAGAAAACAAAAGAAUUUUCUGACACAUCUAUCAGGAUUGGAUGAUACGGAGAUGAACACCAGGACUAUUUUAGAAACUUCAUGUUGAAGACCACUGAGAUAUAAAACUUAGAAAAAAAAAUUGGUCCUGAAUCAAUGUCUUGUGAAGACAGUUGCACAGGGUACCACCAGGCUGAAAUCCAGGUGUUCACCAGGCUUUUUCUUCACCUGGAGGCUCAACUGGAGAAGAAUCUGCUUCCAAGCUCCAUCAGAUUGUUAGAAAAUUAACUUCCCGUGGCUAUAGGAUUCAUGGCACCUUGCUUCUUCAAAGCCAGCAAUGGAAAAAGUUUUCUGCUCCAAGACUGACAUG
rnacentral:lncRNA from 1 species